UGGGGAAUAUUGGACAAUGGGCGCAAGCCUGAUCCAGCCAUGCCGCGUGAGUGAUGAAGGCCUUAGGGUUGUAAAGCUCUUUUGUCCGGGAAGAUAAUGACUGUACCGGAAGAAUAAGCCCCGGCUAACUUCGUGCCAGCAGCCGCGGUAAUACGAAGGGGGCUAGCGUUGCUCGGAAUCACUGGGCGUAAAGGGCGCGUAGGCGGACUCUUAAGUCGGGGGUGAAAGCCCAGGGCUCAACCCUGGAAUUGCCUUCGAUACUGAGAGUCUUGAAUUCGGAAGAGGUUGGUGGAACUGCGAGUGUAGAGGUGAAAUUCGUAGAUAUUCGCAAGAACACCGGUGGCGAAGGCGGCCAACUGGUCCGAUACUGACGCUGAGGCGCGAAAGCGUGGGGAGCAAACAGG
rnacentral:rRNA from 1 species